rnacentral:rRNA from 1 species
UGAGUACGAGACGCUACGGCGUUGAAGCAGUGUAUGUCAGACUUCCAAGAAAAGCUCGCAAUGUCAUAAACAAAUAAUGCCUGUACCAUAACCGACACAGGUGGGUAGGUAGAGUAUACUAAGGGGCGCGAGAUAACUCUCUCUAAGGAACUCGGCAAAAUGACUCCGUAACUUCGGGAGAAGGAGUGCCUUAUUUUUAUAAGGUUGCAAUAACAAGAUCCAAGCAACUGUUUACCAAAAACACAGGUCUCCGCUAAGUCGUAAGACGAUGUAUGGGGGCUGACGCCUGCCCAGUGCCAGAAGGUUAAAGAAGUUGGUUAGCAAUAGCGAAGCUGAUAACUGAAGCCCUGGUGAACGGCGGCCGUAACUAUAACGGUCCUAAGGUAGCGAAAUUCCUUGUCGGGUAAGUUCCGACCCGCACGAAAGGCGUAAUGAUUUGGAUGCUGUCUCGGAGAGGGGCUCGGUGAAAUAGACUUGUCUGUGAAGAUGCGGACUACCUGCACCAGGACAGAAAGACCCUAUGAAGCUUUACUGUAACUUGAAAUUGAAAUUGGACUUUACUUGCGCAGGAUAGGUGGGAGGCGUUGAUUUUAUUCUUGCGGGAAUUUAGGAGCCAUCAGUGAGAUACCACUCUGGUAAUGUUAGAUUUCUAACUUUGUAUCAUAAUCUGGUCAAAGAACAGUUUCAGGCGGGCAGUUUGACUGGGGCGGUCGCCUCCCAAACGGUAACGGAGGCGUACAAAGGUUUCCUCUGAACGUGUAGAAAUCGUAUCUAGAGUGUAAAGGCAUAAGGAAGCUUGACUGUGAGACCUACAAGUCGAGCAGGGACGAAAGUCGGUCUUAGUGAUCUGACGGUGCUGAGUGGAAAGGCCGUCACUCAACGGAUAAAAGUUACUCUAGGAUAACAGGCUGAUCUCCCCCAAGAGUUCACAUCGACGGGGAGGUUUGGCACCUCGAUGUCGGCUCAUCGCAUCCUGGGGCGGUAGUACGUCCCAAGGGUUGGGCUGUUCGCCCAUGAAAGCGGUACGCGAGCUGGGUUCAGAACGUCGUGAGACAGUUCGGUCCAUAUCCGGUGUAGGCGUUAGAAUAUUGAGAGGAUCCUUCUUUAGUACGAGAGGACCGAGAAGGACAUACCUCUGGUGUACCAGUUAUCGUGCCAACGGUAAACGCUGGGUAGCUAUGUAUGGAAAGGAUAACCGCUGAAAGCAUCUAAGUGGGAAGCCUACCUCAAGAUAAGUAUUCUCGU